UUCUGAAGCUCUGUGCGCUUUUCGCGGGUGUGCUGCUCUAGCGAGGCUGUGUUACGGUGACAUAAUAGGACGACAAUAGUUGCGGCUCAAACACGUUGUUGCGAAACUGCGUCGCUGACGAAAUAUACGUUUGAACAAUAGCGGGUCUAGCACCAGAUACGUUCCUGUGUUUCUGAAUGCUUUCCCAAGGAAGAAGUCACACACCGUGCCGCGAGAUGCUUCAUACGGGCAAAUUCUCCGGACAACCGGAAGUUCUGUCAGUGUUGCUGAGAAGGAUGUCGGGCUUAAGAGAAUUUUCAGCAAAAACUUGCGUGACCCUUUCUGUGGCAUAUGUAGCUGAGAGUGCGGCAGCUCCGGAACUCAGAAGACCCAGUAUCUUAAGUGACUCGGGCUUCUCAAAUGCCCCUCCACAAGGAGCGAAGCGCGCUGUUGCAGGCCGGGGGAAGUUAGAUGUAGGCAGUAUCAUGCACUACAGAAAUAGUAACGAGAUGGCAGUCAUCCACAAACGGAGGUACACUCUACAGAUUCGCUGGUGGAAAAGGAGGAAAGCGGAUCAGUGAUGUGGCGUAACCAUCGCGACGGGGCGGUAAGAUGACUAACCCUUUGACCUACCACUCGUUCACGCCACGGCGUGAACGUGCACCCAAGCUAGACGGCUGCACCGCUCUGGGCGCACAUGUAUGUCCGGAUGGAAGUGGGGAGACAAUUAUUAUCGGGCGUAUCCCGCCAAGGCAGGUGUUCGAGGGCGUGUCAACCGUUUUAACAAGACAGGGCAUCCGCGCUGUACCCUUAUUUUGAGAGCGUGACGCUCCCACAAUGGAUCUGUUCUGUACGGUAGCUCUAAGUCCUUCGGUCGUUGUACUUUGACGUACUGGCAAGCGAGGCUAGGAUGCGCUGCUGUGUGCUCUGUCGAAGUCUUCCUAGGCACAAGCUAGGGAACCAUGCAACCAGCUAUUCACCUAAGGGAUGUUAUGAUGCAUGCUCCAAACGCGUGUAUCCAGUAAAAAUAUUGUUGCGUGGCCGGAUCAGGCUGUCGGUACGCGACCACGCGUUC
rnacentral:lncRNA from 1 species